rnacentral:rRNA from 1 species
AUUGAACGCUGGCGGCAGGCCUAACACAUGCAAGUCGAGCGAGUGGCGGACGGGUGAGUAAUGUCUGGGAAACUGCCUGAUGGAGGGGGAUAACUACUGGAAACGGUAGCUAAUACCGCAUACCAUCGGAUGUGCCCAGAUGGGAUUAGCUAGUAGGUGGGGUAAUGGCUCACCUAGGCGACGAUCCCUAGCUGGUCUGAGAGGAUGACCGGCCACACUGGAACUGAGACACGGUCCAGACUCCUACGGGAGGCAGCAGUGGGGAAUAUUGCACAAUGGGCGCAAGCCUGAUGCAGCCAUGCCGCGUGUGUGAAGAAGGCCUUCGGGUUGUAAAGCACUUUCAGCGAGGAGGCGUUACUCGCAGAAGAAGCACCGGCUAACUCCGUGCCAGCAGCCGCGGUAAUUC